CCCACACCCUUUCCAGUCUCGCCCUCACUCCUUGUGUCUCUUCCAGAGGGGACACAACAUUCCAGAAUCCCGCAGGAAAGAUUCUACCAUCUCCACAGCUGCCCUUGCCGCAGUCCUCCCUACAGUUGGAGAAGAUGCCCCCAAUAACUGGGGUGUCUCGAGCUAGUGGACACAUCAUGGAGCUGGGUGAGGCCAGAGGACCUUCCUAGAAAAGGGAAUAUUUCUCUCUCUCUCUUAGUGAUCUGCCUGGGUCAGGAGUUUGGGAUCACUGGCAAGUUGAACAGGUCCUGUGGAUCUUUUCUAGCCUCUGUGUGCCCUAGAGAAGGAGGGCUGGCUCACAUCUCCCUGCGGCCGUAUUCAGAAAUAACUGGGGAAUAGAACACAGUGUAUUGGCUCGUACAGAGUCCACGGUGAGGGGCCGUGGCCAUACCUGCUGCCUUGUUGACCUUGGUUUGCAGAGUGGACUGUGUCAUUAAGAUCCUCCCAUGGCCUCGUCCUGUGCUGGCCAUCGCUAUGCAUCCAGUAAGGGACUUGCGUUUCAGAUCAGAUGAUGCUUUUCACGUAUGUCCAGCAGCAAGAGAAUCCUUCUCCACUGGUGAAAAAUCACGGGCCUCAGAGCAGAUUUUAGUUCAUCUUUCAUUUCAAAGCACUCCUUAGAUAUCUGCAAAUUAAAUCCCCUAAUUUGGUGAGGACGCCCAGCUUCCCAAAUAACAAGGCUUUUCCUUUGAUUCUAACCAAGUGAGCCGGCCCUGCGAAAGCCGGGGUGCGUGUUCUGGCUCCAGGCUUCUGAGCAGCCUUUCUCCCCACGCUGCAGCUUUUCAGUUAGGAAGUCAGAGAGAAGGAAAGAGAACUAUUUCCAAUUCAAUCACAAGCAUGUCUACGCACCACUGAAGACAGACCUUUGUCCUGUUGCUUUCCAAACUUUAAAUGUGAAUUUUUCUUCUUAUGAUGACUGGUGUACUCUGUUAUUCUGGAAAAAAGAAAAAGCCAUAAGCACCCUGAA